CUUCCUCUGCCAAGUGAAAGCAACGAGACAGUCAACCCUGGAUGAAACUAUGGUGUAAGAAAGAACACUCCCUCUUCUUAUUCUUGAAGCAGUAAGAGGCUGUCUCAGAAUCUUAAAGAUCAAAGAUCCACAUGUAGAACUCAACGCUAUGUCUCCAGCACCAUGUCUACUGCUUACCACCAUGGCUCCGCAAUGAUGAAAAUGGACUAAACUUCUGAAACUGUAAGCAAGCUUACAGUUAAAAUGUUUCUUUAAUAAGAGUUGCCAUAGUCAUGGUGUCUCCUCAAAGCAAUGAAUACUGAGACAAAUACUUAUGCUUCCCUGAAAGCAACCACAGCUCUGAAAAAUGCUCGAAGAACUGCCCAUCGGAAAACAGCUACAGGAUCAAUGCCAGUCAUCCCAGAAACAAAAGCAUUCCUGCUACUUCUCAGAAGAGCCACAAUGUCUGGACGCAUAUGAUCUGUAUUUUUUUCCCGAAAAUCCUAUGAAAAAAGUACCAAUGUUAUUUCUGAAAAGGACUAUUAAAAUCAAGAAGAUAGUAGGUUUGAAUGGUGGGGGUGAAUAGAGAUUAUAGAACUGAAUUCUAUUCUGAGCUACCUGGGCCAAGUACCUUAUAAAAGACUGUAUCUUUCACAUAAUUUGUUCAAUUCAGCUUUCCACAGGCUACAAACCAAACAUUACCUGACAAGUUUAAACAUCUGAAUCAAAAUUACUGGGUAUAAAUAACUUUUUUUGUUUUUGUUUUUUGAGACAGGGUUUCUCUGUAUAGCGCUGGCUGUCCUAGAACUCACUUUGUAGACUAGGCUGGCCUCGAACUCAGAAAUCCGCCUGCCUCUGCCUCCUAAGUGCUGGGAUUAAAGGGUGCGUCACCACGCCCAGCUAUAAAUAACUUUUGAUUAACGUUUUAUCAACUAGACACUUUUCUUAUUGUGAAAUAUCCCUUUUUAUCUCCAGGAAUAGCUCUAGCUUCUUUAGUGAGUAUAUAAUUUCACCUUUUAAUCACCUUUUUUAGUUUCAAUCUACUCAAUAACAUACUUAAACAUCAGAGAAACAGGUGUGUGUAUACUAUAUGAUAAAUGUCCCUGCAAAUCUUGGGCAUAUUUGGCUCCCACUUGGUGAUGCUGUCUGGGUAGGUUCACCAGGUAUGGUCUUGCUGAAGCAAGCCAGCAGUAAUCAGGUUGUGAGUUUAAAGACUCACACCAUUUCUUGUUCCAACUCUCUGCUUUGUGCUUGCAGUUAAAAACAUGAGCAACUCAGUUUCACCUUCAGCCACCAUGCCUGCUGCUUCCCUACCAUGAUGGACUCUCUUACCCUUCUGGAAUGGUAAGCUAAAUAAACUUUUUCUUCUACAAA